CAGUGGCGAACGGGUGAGGACUACAUGGGUAACCUACCCUCGAGUGGGGAAUAACUAGCCGAAAGGUUAGCUAAUACCGCGUACGCUUCCCGGACUGCGGUCUGGGAAGGAAAGCGAUACCGUGGGUAUCGCGCUCUUGGAUGGGCUCAUGCCCUAUCAGCUUGUUGGUGAGGUAACGGCUCACCAAGGCUUCGACGGGUAGCUGAUCUGAGAGGAUGAUCAGCCACACUGGCACUGCGACACGGGCCAGACUCCUACGGGAGGCAGCAGUAAGGAAUAUUGCGCAAUGGGCGAAAGCCUGACGCAGCGACGCCGCGUGGGGGAUGAAGGUCUUCGGAUUGUAAACCCCUUUCGGGAGGGAAGAUGGGAUGGGGUAACCCAUUCGGACGGUACCUCCAGAAGCAGCCACGGCUAACUUCGUGCCAGCAGCCGCGGUAAUACGAAGGUGGCAAGCGUUGUUCGGAUUUACUGGGCGUACAGGGAGCGUAGGCGGUUGGAUAAGCCCUCCGUGAAAUCUCCAGGCUUAACCUGGAAAGUGCAGAGGGGACUGUUCAGCUAGAGGAUGGGAGAGGAGCGCGGAAUUCCCGGUGUAGCGGUGAAAUGCGUAGAGAUCGGGAGGAAGGCCGGUGGCGAAGGCGGCGCUCUGGAACAUUUC
rnacentral:rRNA from 1 species